CCUACGGGUGGCAGCAGUGGGGAAUAUUGGACAAUGGGCGCAAGCCUGAUCCAGCCAUGCCGCGUGUGUGAAGAAGGUCUUCGGAUUGUAAAGCACUUUAAGUUGGGAGGAAGGGCAGUAAGUUAAUACCUUGCUGUUUUGACGUUACCGACAGAAUAAGCACCGGCUAACUCUGUGCCAGCAGCCGCGGUAAUACAGAGGGUGCAAGCGUUAAUCGGAAUUACUGGGCGUAAAGCGCGCGUAGGUGGUUGGUUAAGUUGGAUGUGAAAGCCCCGGGCUCAACCUGGGAACUGCAUCCAAAACUGGCCGGCUAGAGUACGGUAGAGGGUGGUGGAAUUUCCUGUGUAGCGGUGAAAUGCGUAGAUAUAGGAAGGAACACCAGUGGCGAAGGCGACCACCUGGACUGAUACUGACACUGAGGUGCGAAAGCGUGGGGAGCA
rnacentral:rRNA from 1 species